rnacentral:lncRNA from 1 species
CUCUCUCCCGCCACUUUGUGAAGAAGGUGCCUGCUUCCCCUUCUGCCAUGAUUGUAAGUUUCCUGAGGCCUCCGAGCUAUGCAGAACUCUGACACCUUGUGUGGAAUUAAAGAAUGCAGAGAAUCAGUAUUAACUCUCGGGAUCCUGGACCUAGUGUAAAUGGAGCUCUCUACGAACUCUUCAGGAGUCCCUCAACUUACCCAUCAAAAUGUUUUACAGAUUGCAUCAUCUUGAGAUGAGCAGCUGCUUCAUCUUUGGUAAGAAGAAUGCAGUUCCAGGGGGACCACUCCAGGGAUUUAUUCCAUCUGACCAUGACCAGAUCACUGAGAUUGUCGCAAGCACUGAGGACUGACUGGGACGCCCAGAUGUUCUCUGUCAGGUACCUGCUGGUAUUGAUCAAGUCCUGAGAGAUAACACCAAGAUUCAAUGAAAGCUCAACCAAGAAGGGACUCAAAAAUACUUUAUCUAAAAGACAUCAAAUAACGAACCAGUUUGGACAGUGACAGUUAUGAUUUGAGAGACAUCAGUUAAUCCAUCUAUUCUUCUGACUGGAUACAGAUCUGGAUUUGUAGAAAAGAUUUCCACUUGUACAAUUUCCUGUGGCUUAACUCCAUGUUGUACUAGAGUCUCAUUAUUUUUAAGAAUUUUUCCUAAAAAUUGAA